AUUGAACGCUGGCGGCAGGCCUAACACAUGCAAGUCGAACGAGUGGCGGACGGGUGAGUAAUGUCUGGGAAACUGCCCGAUGGAGGGGGAUAACUACUGGAAACGGUAGCUAAUACCGCAUACCAUCGGAUGUGCCCAGAUGGGAAUAGCUAGUAGGUGGGGUAACGGCUCACCUAGGAGACGAUCCCUAGCUGGUCUGAGAGGAUGACCAGCCAAGCUGUAACUGAGAGAAGGCCCAGACUCCUACGGGGGUCGGCAGUGGGGAAGUUGUGACAAUGGGCGCAAGCCUGAUGCAGCCAUGCCGCGUGUAUGAAGAAGGCCUUCGGGUUUGAAAGUACUUUCAGCGAGGAGGCGUUACUCGCAGAAGAAGCACCGGCUAACUCCGUGCCAGCAGCCGCGGUAAUAC
rnacentral:rRNA from 1 species